UUCCGGUUGAUCCUGCCGGACCUGACUGCUAUCGGAUUGAUACUAAGCCAUGCGAGUCAUUGUAGCAAUACAAGGCAGACGGCUCAGUAACGCGUAGUCAACCUAACCUAUGGACGGGAAUAACCUCGGGAAACUGAGAAUAAUGCCCGAUAGAACACUAUGCCUGGAAUGGUUUGUGUUCCAAAUGAUUUAUCGCCGUAGGAUGGGACUGCGGCCUAUCAGUUUGUUGGUGAGGUAAUGGCCCACCAAGACUAUUACAGGUACGGGCUCUGAGAGGAGUAGCCCGGAGAUGGGUACUGAGACACGGACCCAGGCCCUAUGGGGCGCAGCAGGCGAGAAAACUUUGCAAUGUGCGAAAGCACGACAAGGUUAAUCCGAGUGGUUUGUGCUAAACGAACCUUUUGUCGGUCCUAGAAACACCGAUGAAUAAGGGGUGGGCAAGUUCUGGUGUCAGCCGCCGCGGUAAAACCAGCACCUCAAGUGGUCAGGAUGAUUAUUGGGCCUAAAGCAUCCGUAGCCGGCGCUGUAAGUUUUCGGUUAAAUCUGUACGCUCAACGUACAGGCUGCCGGGAAUACUGCAGCGCUAGGGAGUGGGAGAGGUAGACGGUACUCGGUAGGAAGGGGUAAAAUCCUUUGAUCUAUUGAUGACCACCUGUGGCGAAGGCGGUCUACCAGAACACGUCCGACGGUGAGGGAUGAAAGCUGGGGGAGCAAACCGGAUUAGAUACCCGGGUAGUCCCAGCUGUAAACUAUGCAAACUCAGUGAUGCAUUGGCUUGUGGCCAAUGCAGUGCUGCAGGGAAGCCGUUAAGUUUGCCGCCUGGGAAGUACGUACGCAAGUAUGAAACUUAAAGGAAUUGGCGGGGGAGCACCACAGGGGUGAAGCCUGCGGUUCAAUUGGAGUCAACGCCGGAA
rnacentral:rRNA from 1 species